GACAGAGGGUGCAAACGUUGCUCGGAAUCACUGGGCGUAAAGGGCGUGUAGGCGGGAAGGAAAGUCAGAUGUGAAAUCCCUGGGCUCAACCCAGGAACUGCAUUUGAAACUCCCUUUCUUGAGUGUCGGAGAGGAAAGCGGAAUUCCUGGUGUAGAGGUGAAAUUCGUAGAUAUCAGGAGGAACACCGGUGGCGAAGGCGGCUUUCUGGACGACAACUGACGCUGAGGCGCGAAAGCGUGGGGAGCGAACAGG
rnacentral:rRNA from 1 species